rnacentral:rRNA from 1 species
CCUACGGGAGGCAGCAGUGGGGAAUAUUGGACAAUGGGCGCAAGCCUGAUCCAGCCAUGCCGCGUGUGUGAAGAAGGCCUUCGGGUUGUAAAGCACUUUAAGUUGGGAGGAAGGCUCCAAAGCUAAAACCUUUGGGGAUUGACGUUACCAACAGAAUAAGCACCGGCUAAUUCCGUGCCAGCAGCCGCGGUAAU